rnacentral:rRNA from 1 species
AUUUGGGGAGCUGAGUGAGAUCAGGUUAGUACUUGAAUGGGAGACCACCAGGGAAUCUCAAGGAUCUCUAAAUA